GAUGAAGGAACGUAGCGAAAUGCGAUAAGUAAUGUGAAUUGCAGAAUUCAGUGAAUCAUCGAAUCUUUGAACGCACAUUGCGCCCGCUAGUAUUCUGGCGGGCAUGCCUGUCCGAGCGUCAUUUCAACCCUCAAGCCCCCGGGCUUGGUGUUGGGGAUCGGCGAGCCUCCGCGCCCGCCGUCCCCUAAAUCUAGUGGCGGUCUCGCUGUAGCUUCCUCUGCGUAGUAGCACACCUCGCACUGGGAAACAGCGCGGCCACGCCGUUAAACCCCCAACUUCUGAACGUUUGACCUCGGAUCAGGUAGGAAUACCCGCUGAACUUAAGCAUAUCAAUAAGCGGAGGA
rnacentral:misc_RNA from 1 species